AAUAAAGUUUUCUUUAUUGGGGUUGCGGACAUAUCAUAACGAAGAGGUAUCGUAAUUGAAGAGGUUUGGAAAGACCCACCACAGAAGGUAAUAGUCCUGUAUGUUAAACGAGAAGACUUUAGAUAUGAUCCAGAGUACCACGGGACACGUGAAACCCUGUGGGAAGCAGGAGGGACCACCCUCCAAGGCUAAAUACUACCUAGUGACCGAUAGCGUAUAGUACCGUGAGGGAAAGGUGAAAAGAACCCCGGGAGGGGAGGGAAAUAGAACCUGAAACCCUGCACUUACAAGCUGUGGAAGCACAUUUCUUGUGUGACCGCGUACUUUUUGUAGAACGGGCCAACGAGUUACGGUAAGUAGCAAGGUUAAGCACUUAAGGUGCGGAGCCGUAGCGAAAGCGAGUUUUAACUGAGCGUUCAGUUACUUGACGUAGACCCGAAACCGGGCGACCUACCCAUGAGCAGGAUGAAGCGAAAGUAAAAUUUCGUGGAGGUCCGAACCCACGAGCG
rnacentral:rRNA from 1 species